GGGCAAGGAACUCGACCGGAAGUUGAAGUCGGGUGGGGGCUGCCAUCUUUUAGCAGAACUUCACUUGCGUUAGCAUACCCAUUGACUCCCAUUCAUUUUGGCGUCACUUUGACAGCGAACAACUUUACAUCUGAGGCGUUUAAAGACUCUGUUUGUCCAUUAUUUAUUUCUAAAGAUACACGACAAUGUAUAAAGGGUUCCAUUACCUUCUAUGUUACAUUAUGGCCCCGUAUAAACAGUUUUUGUAAAAAAUAGGCUAACGAUUGCGUCAUAACCACUCGGCUCUCUGUCGCAUUACCGUACAGACAGGAGGAGAAGCUCGCAGGCAAUUAACUUAAUAUGGCGUACUGGCGUUACAUUUUAAAAUACUAUACAAAAUAAUUAAUCAGAAUACUUACUCCUGCUCAUUCACGCCAAAGAACUCCCCGCUCAAGCUCGCUGUCUCUGCAAGAUUAACGAUGGCAGUUUGCACGCACAGCUACUAGAACAUUUGCAUCUGGCAGACAGGUUGCUGACGCCGUCAAGCUUUGUUUGAGUCUGCGCGUCAGAAACGGAAGUGCUAAAAAACACUAAAACUGGGCUUCAUUUGUCUCAAUUGAGUUCCAAUGGGGUCGCUGUGUCCAUUUCUUUUACUGUCUAUGGUAAACACACACACAAGAGCAAUGGGCAGCCAUUUAUGCUCCAGCGCCCGGGGAGCAGUUGGGGGUUCGAUGCCUUGAUGGUCACGCGCUGUACUGGAGCGGAGGAAGUCACCAUGGAAACGGGGCUCAGCUCAACCGUCAAGCAGCUGCAGACGCGGUCUCUCGUGAUUGUUUUCACUAAUUUCAGAAAUGGUCAGGGUCUUCAGAAAAAGUCCGUUAGCAUCUCAACUGUAAUGCUAACUACAAGAGAUUCUUCCAUGCUGAUGGCCCUGCGUUUAUCCAGCUGAAGAACAUUUUUAGACAUUAUGACACAUAUAACUAAGACUAAAAAUCAUUGAUACACCACAAGAGUUUAGCUCCAACCCCAGUUAAGCAGAGCUGAGCAGCUGAUCAAGAAUCAGCAGAAACUCUGCAGAACGGUGGUCCUCCAGCCCAGGACUGGACACCAGUGUUAUGCUGGAGAAAAAACAGCCAGGCUAAAGCAUUCAAAGUGGAAACAUCUGCUGUGGCUCAUUAAUCCAGAAUUGGGAUGGAGGAAGGAGCAGAAGAACAGAGAUCAGAGAUCAGGCAGAGAUGGUGUCCCUGUGGGAAACCAUUUACCAAACGUGUCAGUUAAACCAAAGAUUUUCAUCACUCACCUUUAUGUUGUUCCAAGCCAGACUUUUGUUCAUCUUUGAAACAUAAAUGCAGAACUUUUUAAUGAAAUCUGAGAAUUUUUUUUUAAUAUAAAAUAACGCAUUCACACAAGCACCAUGAUGCAUCAUUGUUGCAUUGGCGUGAGAGCUGGCGCUUUUUGGUGCUUUUGUGAAAAUCUUGCUUUUAUAUUAUAAAAAUAUAUAUAUUUUUUUUUAUAUAUAUCAUUGGGGAAUCAUAAUUUCUGAAUAAAUUAUUUUUGCUGUUGUUGUUUUUUGCGUACACAAGGCAUCUGUUAAAAACAUAUCUUCAUUUGUGUUCUGCAACAUGGUUUGCUGCAACAUGAGGGUAAGGAAAUAAUGACAGAAUUUACAUUUUUGGUUGUUCUAAUGUGGUUACAAUUGGUCAUAGUUUAUUGUCUUGAAAAAUUAUAUUAAAACAGAAAGAUGGAUUAAUUUGAUAAGUUUAUAGUAAAGACUUUUAAAUCUAAAUAAAUACUACUCUUUUGCAAGGUCAAUUAAAAAAUACUGACAAAUGUAAUGGUUCCCACAAAAUAUUGGGCUGCACAACUGUUUUAAACAUUGAUAAUAAUCAGAAAUGUUUCUUGAGCAGCAAAUGAUUUAAUCAAAGGAGGCUAAAGAUGUGAUCAAGAAUUUACAUGAAAGAUGUAAUGCGUCAAUAAAUGUGUCAAUAUACUGUGAAUUGUCUUUAUUUUCACUAAUUAGGAAUAUGAAAAAUAAUUCACGGUUGUAAU